rnacentral:rRNA from 1 species
ACCCCGAGGAAAAGAAAUCAACCGAGAUUCCCCCAGUAGCGGCGAGCGAACGGGGAGCAGCCCAGAGUCUGAAUCAGCUUGUGUGUUAGUGGAACGGUCUGGAAAGUCCGACGGUACAGGGUGAUAGUCCCGUACACCAAAAUGCACAGGCUGUGAACUCGAAGAGUAGGGCGGGACACGUGGUAUCCUGUCUGAAUAUGGGGGGACCAUCCUCCAAGGCUAAAUACUCCUGACUGACCGAUAGUGAACCAGUACCGUGAGGGAAAGGCGAAAAGAACCCCGGCGAGGGGAGUGAAAAAGA